rnacentral:rRNA from 1 species
UACGGAGGGUGCGAGCGUUGUCCGGAAUCAUUGGGCGUAAAGGGUGCGUAGGUGGCGAGGUAAGUCGGAUGUGAAAGCUCGGAGCUCAACUCCGAAAUGGCAUUGGAAACUACCCUGCUAGAGGGUCGGAGGGGGGACUGGAAUACUUGGUGUAGCAGUGAAAUGCGUAGAUAUCAAGUGGAACACCAGUGGCGAAGGCGAAGUCCCUGGACG